rnacentral:rRNA from 1 species
CAGUCGCCGCGGGAAAACAGAGGGUCCGAGCGUUGUCCGGAAUUAUUGGGCGUAAAGGGCUCGUAGGCGGUUUGUCGCGUCGGGAGUGAAAACCAGCAGCUUAACUGCUGGCCUGCUUUCGAUACGGGCAGACUUGAGGCAUUCAGGGGAGAACGGAAUUCCUGGUGUAGCGGUGAAAUGCGCAGAUAUCAGGAGGAACACCGGUGGCGAAGGCGGUUCUCUGGGAAUGUUCUGACGCUGAGGAGCGAAAGUGUGGGGAGCGAACAGGAUUAGAUACCCCCGUAGUCCCUGUCUCUUAUAC